AUAUGUUCUCAGCAACUGCAUGAAAAGAAGCUUCUUUCCCAUUCCAUCUAUCAGAAGCCCCCGGUACCAGGCUCUAAAAUGACCAACCUGGGUCAAGUGUUCAUUCUUGUACUCUUCUCUAUGGCCAGAGGUUCACAGGUGCUGUGAUGUCUUUCACAGGCAAUGGAUAAAGCAUCCUGCAUUGUCCUAGGCACACUCUGUAGGGAAGAUAUGGGAAUCUGAAGUCAACUUUGCCAAAAUUGUGAGGAUUGCUAAUGUGAGAUGAGAAUCUACUCACAAACAUUAAGAAGGUAACAUGAUGAGUGAAGUAAAGAUGGAGUCUCACUCUGUCACCAGCCUGGAGUGCAGUGGCGCAAUCUCAGCUCACUGCAACCUCCGCCUCCUGGGUUCAAGCAAUUGUCCUGCCUCAGCCUCCCCAACUAGCUGGGACUACACGCACACGCCACUACACCUGGCUAAUUUUGUAUUUUUAGUAGAGACAGGUUUCUCCAUGUUGACCAGAUCUCGAACUCCUGACCUCAGGUGAUCUGCCCGCCUUGGCCUCCCAAGGUGCUGGAAUUACAGGCUUGACCCACCGCUCCCAGCCUGUUUUCUAUUCUUGACCAAAAAAUAGAACCAUCUAAACAAGUUGUCUAUAACAGAGAUUUCUGGGUUGCAUAAUUAUUCAAUGAAUUAGUUUCUCAGGGAGAAACCCACAUUUUCCCAAAAGUUACCAAGCAGCUGAUGACCAGCAAGUUUUGCAAAUCUGUUACAGACCAACUCUUUCUUCUUUCGUAACUUUCACGUUAUAUGUUGUCUCCCUUCUUUAUAUUCUCCAUUCCAUUUAUAUUCAUUUAAGGCAUUUAUAUUCAUUCAGGCAGUGUGCUAGCUAUAAAGGCAGACAUAUAGAAAAUAAAGAAAUUGACUCUGACCUUGAGGGUUGAGAAGUAGGGCAUGGUGAGAAAAUGAAAGAGAGGUAGACACCACUUAAACUAGUAACUACAAAUUAAGUUCUAUAAUACAGUUAUGAAGUGCUUUGUGAGUGUUGCUAGUUGAAUUGUGUCUCCCCUCAGCAAAAUAUAUUCAAGUCCUAAACCCCAGUACCUGUAAAUGUGACUUUAUUUGGAGACUGGGUGUUUGCAGAUGUAAUCAAGGUAAAAUGAGAUCAUGCUGGAUUAUGGUGGACCCUAAAUAUGAUGACUGGUGUCCUUUCAAGGAAACAGAGCUUCAGAAAUACAGACAGCCACAGAAAGAAGGCCGUGCACAGACAGAGGCAGAAAUUUGAGUGAUUUGGCUACAAGCCAAAGAACUGCAAGGAUUGCCGACAACACUAAAAGCUAGGAAAAGGAGAGGAGGCAUUCUUGCCUAGAGCCUUCAGAAGGAGAAUGGCCCUGUGCUAUUUUGAUUUCAGAUGUUUAAUUUCCAGAACUGGAGAGAAUAGAUUUCUGUUGUUCUAAACCACCCAGUUUGUGAUGACUUGUUAAGGCAGGAAACUACUACAGUGAGUAUCCGUUAAAUGGCUUCAUUUUGCAGGAAAACAAAAGAUUGGAAUGGUCAGUGAAACAUAUAAAAACC
rnacentral:lncRNA from 1 species